rnacentral:rRNA from 1 species
CAUGUCUUUUUGAAUAUUAUUUAAAGUCUAAUCUGCUCAAUGAUAAUUUAAAUUGCCGCAGUAUCUUAACUGUGCAAAGGUAGCAUAAUAAUUAGUUUUUUUAUUGAAAGCUGGAAUGAAUGAUUGGACGAGAAAAUUUCUGUCUCUUAAUAAUUUUUUUUUGAAAUUUAUUUUUAAGUUAAAAAGCUUAAAUUUCUUUUAUAGACGAGAAGACCCUAUAGAGUUUAAUUUUUUCUUUUUAUAUUAUUAUUAAGUAAUUAAUUAUUUUAUUGUUUAGAAAAAAUUUGAUUGGGGUGAUUAAAAAAUUUAAUAAACUUUUUUAAAUUUUAAUUACUAAUUUGUAAUUUUUAAAUCUAAUAUUUUUAAGUUUAAUAUAAAUUACCUUAGGGAUAACAGCGUAAUUUUUUUUUGAAGUUCUUAUUUAAAGGAAAGAUUGCGACCUCGAUGUUGGAUUAAAAUUUAUUUUUGGCGCAAAAGCUGAAAAAUUUAAGUCUGUUCGACUUUUAAAAUUUUACAUGAUCUGAGU